ensembl:misc_RNA 7SK 7SK RNA
GGAUGUGAGGGCAAUCUGGCUGCAACAUCUGUCACCCAUGUGUCACCAGGGUUAAUUUGGCUGACCUGGCUGAUUAGUCGGGUGUCUCCUUCCUCCCUCAGCUCCCUCUCCAUGUGAAUCUCUCCAGAUGCUGCUCUCUUGGUCAAAGACAAUGAUACCUGACUUACAGUAGGAUACCUGACUAAGCACACACUAGUAAGAUCACACAAUUGGAGAAAAUCCUCAGGCCAAGUGGUCAAGAUGUAUGGUGCUGAGUGAAAGGUUAUACUUUGGGCGAGACAUGAAGAGCAGCUCAUGUAGUUCCUCUUU